rnacentral:rRNA from 1 species
GACGAACGCUGGCGGCGUGCUUAACACAUGCGAGUCGAACGGAAAGGCCCUGCUUUUGUGGGGUGCUCGAGUGGCGAACGGGUGAGUAACACGUGAGUAACCUGCCCUUGACUUUGGGAUAACUUCAGGAAACUGGGGCUAAUACCGGAUAGGAGCUCCUGCUGCAUGGUGGGGGUUGGAAAGUUUCGGCGGUUGGGGAUGGACUCGCGGCUUAUCAGCUUGUUGGUGGGGUAGUGGCUUACCAGGGCUUUGACGGGUAGCCGGCCUGAGAGGGUGACCGGCCACAUUGGGACUGAGAUACGGCCCAGACUCCUACGGGAGGCAGCAGUGGGGAAUAUUGCACAAUGGGCGGAAGCCUGAUGCAGCAACGCCGCGUGCGGGAUGACGGCCUUCGGGUUGUAAACCGCUUUCGCCUGUGACGAAGCGUGAGUGACGGUAAUGGGUAAAGAAGCGCCGGCUAACUACGUG